rnacentral:lncRNA from 1 species
CGCGUUAAUGAGUCAGAAAAGAAAUAAUUCUCAAUGCCAUAUUGCUUUUGCGAUGUUGUUUUUUCUCAUUUUUUGUGCUGCAAAGACAUUGCAGGUGAAUAUUAGAGGGAUUAUUAAUUGCAGGUGAAUAUUAGAGGGGAUUAUUAAACGGAAAUUGAUUAGAGGAGAAAUUGAAUAUAUUCCUCGACAAGAACAAAGGAAACCGAGCAGGGUGAAAAAUAAGGCGUGGUAUUAUAUGGCGUGGUAUUAUCUGGCGUGGUAUUAUAUGGCGUGGUAUUAUAUGGGGUGGUAUUAUAUAUAUGGGGUGGUAUGAUAUGGGGUGAUAUUAUAUGUGGUGGUAUUAUAUGGCGUGGUAUUAUAUGGCAUGGUAUGGUAUGGCGUGGUAUGAUAUGGGGUGGUAUUAUAUGGGGUGGUAUUAUAUGGGGUGCUAUAUGGGGUGGUAUGAUAUGGGGUGUUGUUAUAUGGUGUGGUGUUAUAUGGGGUGGUGUUGUAUGGGGUGGUGUUAUAUGGCGUGGUAUUAUAUGGCGUGGUAUUAUAUGGCGUGGUAUUAUAUGGCGUGGUAUUAUAUGGGGUGGUAUUAUAUGGGGUGGUAUUAUAUGGGGUGGUGUUAUAUGGGGUGGUUUUAUAUGGGGUGGUAUGAUAUGGGGUGAUAUUAUAUGGGGUGGUAUUAUAUGGGGUGGUAUUGUAUGGGGUGGUAUUAUAUGGGGUGGUAUUAUAUGGGGUGGUAUGAUAUGGGGGUGGUAUGAUAUGGGGUGGUAUGAUAUGGGGUGGUAUGAUAUGGGGUGGUAUGAUAUGGGGUGGUAUGAUAUGGGGUGGUAUGAUAUGAGGUGAUAUGGUAUGGGGUGGUAUGAUAUUGGGGUGGUAUUAUAUGGGGUGGUAUUAUAUUGGAUGGUAUUAUAUGGGGUGGUAUUACAUGGGGUGGUAUUAUAUGGGGUGGUAUUAUAUGGGGUGGUAUGAUAUGGCGUGGUAUUAUCUGGCGUGGUAUUAUAUGGCGUGGUGUUAUAUGGCGUGGUGUUAUAUGGUUGGUGUUAUAUGGCAUGGUGUUAUAUGGCGUGGUGUUAUAUGGCGUGGUAUGAUAUGGCGUGGUAUGAUAUGGCGUGGUAUGAUAUGGGGUGGUAUGAAAUGGGGUGGUAUGAUAUGGGGUGGUAUGAUAUGGGGUGAUAUGAUAUGGGGUGAUAUGAUAUGGGGUGGUAUUAUAUGGCGUGGUAUUACAUGGCGUGGUAUUAUAUGGCGUAGUAUUAUAUGGCGUGGUAAUAUAUGGCGUGGUAUUAUAAAUUGGCGUGGUAUUAUAUGGCGUGGUACUAUAUGGCGUGGUAUGAUAUCGGGUGGUAUUAUAUUGGGUGGUAUUAUAUCGGGUGGUAUGAUAUGGGGAGGUAUGAUAUGGGGUGGUAUUAUAUGUGGUGGUAUUGUAUGGGGCGGUAUGAUAUGGGGUGGUAUGAUAUGGGGUGGUAUGAUAUGGGGUGGUGUUAUAUGGUGUGGUGUUAUAUGGGGUGGUGUUGUAUGGGGUGGUAUUAUAUGGCGUGGUAUUAUAUGGCGUGGUAUUAUAUGGCGUGGUAUGAUAUGGGGUGGUAAUAUUGAUAUGGGGUGGUAUUAUAUGGGGUGGUAUUAUAUGGGGUGGUAUGAUAUGGGGAGGUAUUAUAUGGGGUGGUAUUAUAUGGGGUGGUAUGAUAUGGGGUGGUAUGAUAUGGGGUGGUAUGAUAUGGGGUGGUAUGAUAUGGGGUGGUAUUAUAUGGCGUGGUAUUAUAUGGCGUGGUAUUAUAUGGCGUGGUAUUAUAUGGUGUGGUAUUAUAUGGUGUGGUAUUAUAUGGUGUGGUAUAUGGGGUGGUAUUAUAUGGGGUGGUAUUAUAUGGGGUGGUAUUAUAUGGGGUGGUAUUAUAUGGGGUGGUAUGAUAUGGGGUGGUAUGAUAUGGGGUGGUAUUAUAUGGCGUGGUAUUAUAUGGCGUGGUAUUAUAUGGCGUGGUAUUAUAUGGCGUGGUAUUAUAUGGCGUGGUAUUAUAUGGAGUGGUACGAUAUGGGGUGGUAUGAUAUGGGGUGGUGUUAUAUGGGGUGGUAUUAUAUUGCGUGGUAUUAUAUGGUGUGGUAUUAUAUGGUGUGGUAUUAUUUGGGGUGGUAUGAUAUGGCAUGGUAUUAUUAAAAGUAUGGUAUUGGUAUAGUAUGGUAUGGUAUAGUAUGGCUGCCUGUGAUGCAAUAAGGAUAAGUGACAGCAAACUUUUUGGUAUGACAAUAAAAAAACCCUGAAAAAUGUAUUGCAAAGGUCCGCUUUUAUAUUUCCGAGUGUCAAACUAUUAUUCCAGUUCCAUAUAGAGCUUGUUGUAUCCACAAGUUUGCCGCCAUAUUCAACCGCCAUGACUUGAGGAUGUUUGAAAAAGUACUAAACUAUUCUCAUGAUAUUUACUGACCAGGCUGGACUAUUAAUGUUCUCCUUUGAGGCAUAGUUAAUUUUGGUGAACAUCCUUAGUUCAAUG